GUGUGCCUGACCCUCACAGCCAAGCGCAUGGCACGGAAGAACUGCCUGGUGAAGAACCUGGAGGCGGUGGAGACGCUGGGCUCCACGUCCACCAUCUGCUCAGACAAGACGGGCACCCUCACCCAGAACCGCAUGACCGUCGCCCACAUGUGGUUUGAUAUGACCGUGUAUGAGGCCGACACCACUGAAGAACAGACUGGAAAAACAUUUACCAAGAGCUCUGAUACCUGGUUUAUCCUGGCCCGAAUCGCUGGCCUCUGCAACCGGGCUGACUUUAAGGCUAAUCAGGAGAUCCUGCCCAUUGCUAAGAGGGCCACAACAGGUGAUGCUUCCGAGUCAGCCCUCCUCAAGUUCAUCGAGCAGUCUUACAGCUCUGUGGCGGAGAUGAGAGAGAAAAACCCCAAGGUGGCAGAGAUUCCCUUUAAUUCUACCAACAAGUACCAGGUACAGAACCCACAAAGGCGACCUAGCGGGCAUUUCCUGUCCAUCACAAGAGGAACCCCAUGGAGAGCUCCUUUUCAUACAUCAGAGAUCAAGAGGAAAUGCAAAACCCACAUUUCUCUCUCCUUGCUGCGGGUUGUCCCCUCGGGUUCAUUUCAUGAAUGUGCCCUUUCCCUCCCCCACCACAGCCACAAGGACUCCCAUGCCCAACCACACUAGCUAGCCCCUCUCAGGAGACUUCUCACGCUUUUAGGAGACAGAGGCCCAGGGACUAGAAUGACUAACUUAUUUUUGGAUUGUACUUCACAGUUUUCAAAGUAUUUUCUACACUAUCUCUUAUAAAAACCCAAUGAAGGGCCAGGUGUGGUGGCUCAUGCCUGUAAUCCCAGCAGUUUGGGAGGCCAAGGUGGGCAGAUCACCUUAGGUCAGGAAUUCAAGACCAGGCUGACCAACAUGGUGAAACCCCCAUCUCUGCUAAAAAUGCAAAAAAUCAGCCAGGCAUAGUGGCGGUGCCUGUAAUCCCAGCAGUUUCCGAGGCCAAGGUUGGUAGAUCACCUGAGGUCAGGAGUUCAAAACCAGCCUGACCAGCAUGGUGAAACCCCCCGUCUCUGCUAAAAAUGCAAAAAAUCAGCCCGGCAUAGUGGCGGUGCCUGUAAUUCCAGCUACUCGGGAGGCUGAAGCAGGAGAAUCACUUGAACCCAGAGGCAGAGGUUGCAGUGAGCUGAGAUCACACCACUGCACUCCAGCCUGGGCAACAGAGUGAGACUCCAUCUUCAAAAACAAAAACAAAACAUGACAAAAAACCCCAUGAAGGAGGCAAGGCAGAGGCUUUUAUGUUUUGUCGAAGGAACUAAGAUUUUGCGAAGUUAAAUGGACUGACCUGAGGUCAUAAAGCAUUCUUGCUAGCCCCAGAACACAGGUCUUUGGACUUUUUUUUUUUUUUUUUUUUUUUUUUUGAGAUGGCGUCUGGCUCUGUCACCCAGGCUAGAGUGCAAUAGUGCAAUCUUGGCUCACUGCAACCUCUGCUUCCAGGGUUCCAGCGAUUCUCCUGCCUUAGCCUCCCAAGUGGCUGGGAUUACGGGCACAUGCCACCAUGCCCAGCUAAUUUUUGUAUUUUUAGUAGAGACGGGGUUUUGCCAUGCUGGCCAGGCUAGUCUUGAACUCCUGACCUCAAGCAAUCCACCCACCUCGGCCUCCCAAAGUGCUGGGAUUACAGGCAUGAGCCGCUACGCCUGGCCUUCAGACUCUUUUUCUUUCCUGUCUACUCUCUUUUCUUUCUUUGCCAGCCCCACUAUUUCUGCUGUCUCGCCAUCCAGUUGGCAAGGAUGCAGGGGAAAAGUGAGAGUGCCUGGUUCUGCCCCCAGGGAGCUUCAGGCUGAGAAGAUAAUAGAGAUUCCUGUGCAAAUAAUACCAGGCUGCAGUUUCCUGGAAAAAGGAGGAGGGGCUGGGCUCAACCUGGGGCGAGAUGUGCAUGGGGAGGGGAGGGAAUAAAAGAAAUGGGGGUAUGAAACACAUUUUUUUGCCUUUGAAACCUUCCCCUUCUUUUUGCCCCUGAUCCUUGGUCUCUCCUCCUGUCCCAUCAGUGCUCCCUCUGCUCUCCCUAGAUGUCCAUCCACCUUCGGGAGGACAGCUCCCAGACCCACGUACUGAUGAUGAAGGGUGCUCCGGAGAGGAUCUUGGAGUUUUGUUCUACCUUUCUUCUGAAUGGGCAGGAGUACUCAAUGAACGAUGAAAUGAAGGAAGCCUUCCAAAAUGCCUAUCUAGAACUGGGAGGUCUGGGGGAACGUGUGCUAGGCUUCUGCUUCUUGAAUCUGCCUAGCAGCUUCUCCAAGGGAUUCCCAUUUAAUACAGAUGAAAUAAAUUUCCCCAUGGACAACCUUUGUUUUGUGGGCCUCAUAUCCAUGAUUGACCCUCCCCGAGCUGCAGUGCCUGAUGCUGUGAGCAAGUGUCGCAGUGCAGGAAUUAAGGUGAUCAUGGUAACAGGAGAUCAUCCCAUUACAGCUAAGGCCAUUGCCAAGGGUGUGGGCAUCAUCUCAGAAGGCACUGAGACGGCAGAGGAAGUUGCUGCCCGGCUUAAGAUCCCUAUCAGCAAGGUCGAUGCCAGUGCUGCCAAAGCCAUUGUGGUGCAUGGUGCAGAACUAAAGGACAUACAGUCCAAGCAGCUUGAUCAGAUCCUCCAGAACCACCCUGAGAUCGUGUUUGCUCGGACCUCCCCUCAGCAGAAGCUCAUCAUUGUCGAGGGAUGUCAGAGGCUGGGAGCCGUUGUGGCCGUGACAGGUGACGGGGUGAACGACUCCCCUGCGCUGAAGAAGGCUGACAUUGGCAUUGCCAUGGGCAUCUCUGGCUCUGACGUCUCUAAGCAGGCAGCCGACAUGAUCCUGCUGGAUGACAACUUUGCCUCCAUCGUCACGGGGGUGGAGGAGGGCCGCCUGAUCUUUGACAACCUGAAGAAAUCCAUCAUGUACACCCUGACCAGCAACAUCCCCGAGAUCACGCCCUUCCUGAUGUUCAUCAUCCUCGGUAUACCCCUGCCUCUGGGAACUAUAACCAUCCUCUGCAUUGAUCUCGGCACUGACCUGGUCCCUGCCAUCUCCUUGGCUUAUGAGUCAGCUGAAAGCGACAUCAUGAAGAGGCUUCCAAGGAACCCAAAGACGGAUAAUCUGGUGAACCACCGUCUCAUUGGCAUGGCCUAUGGACAGAUUGGGAUGAUCCAGGCUCUGGCUGGAUUCUUUACCUACUUUGUAAUCCUGGCUGAGAAUGGUUUUAGGCCUGUUGAUCUGCUGGGCAUCCGCCUCCACUGGGAAGAUAAAUACUUGAAUGACCUGGAGGACAGCUACGGACAGCAGUGGACCUAUGAGCAACGAAAAGUUGUGGAGUUCACAUGCCAAACGGCCUUUUUUGUCACCAUCGUGGUUGUGCAGUGGGCGGAUCUCAUCAUCUCCAAGACUCGCCGCAACUCACUUUUCCAGCAGGGCAUGAGAAACAAAGUCUUAAUAUUUGGGAUCCUGGAGGAGACACUCUUGGCUGCAUUUCUGUCCUACACUCCAGGCAUGGACAUGGCCCUGCGAAUGUACCCACUCAAGAUAACCUGGUGGCUCUGUGCCAUUCCCUACAGUAUUCUCAUCUUCAUCUAUGAUGAAAUCAGAAAACUCCUCAUCCGUCAGCACCCAGAUGGCUGGGUGGAAAGGGAGACGUACUACUAAACUCAGCAGAUGAAGAGCUUCAUGUGACACAGGGGUGUUGUGAGAGCUGGGAUGGGGUCAGAGAUUAUAAGUUUGACACAACAUCUGAGACACUAGGAUGAAUUAUCUUGGAUGAGAAAGAUGGGCAAUCCUGGGCUGGCUUGAGGGAAUCAUGGGCAGAGGAUGAGGUGGGCUGAAGGGAAGCCCAGCCUGCAUCUAGCUGGAGCCCCGCAGGGAGGGGCAUGGUCCUGCUGAAUCCCGUAGCCAGUCUAGACAGUAAAUGUCUGGAAAAGCCCUCA
rnacentral:sRNA from 1 species